AUAAGGCCCGGUCUUUUCACCUCCGAAUAAAUAUGCUCUUAUCUGGCAGUUAGCUAUCUGGAGGAUAAAUAUUUAUUCGCCAGAUAAAAUGUACCCGUCUUUUCACGUCAAUUUAUGUUCCAGUUAGUUAUCCGGUAGAUAAGCUUAAAAGUAAGUUUGGAUUCCGAACACACCUGACUUUUAUGUUUAUUUUUAUAAUUUCAGCUUUAACUUAACCUAACAUAAUUAGAUUCAAAGUAUUUCAAAGAUGAUUUUAUCGAUUUUAUUUCCAUUUUGGAAGAAGGAAUGAAGGAAAUGUAAGUAAAUCAAAGAAUUACAACUUAAUAGGUUUAGUCACAACUUAACUUAGUUUAGUUACAACUUAAUCAUAAGGUUUAGAAAUACAUUUUCAUAUUUUAAUCAGACAACAAUAUUGUUUUAGAAAGAAAACAUUGAUUACGCUGAAAAAGUUUACUGGAGAGCUUGAACAAGAGGUAAAUCCAUUUUAAAUUAGUGGAAAACUGUUGAUUUGUAUGUAAAAUAGAAGACAAAGACAAGUUUAAAUAAAGACAAGCUAGCUAAUGAAACAGAUGCAGUGUUACAGAUAUGACAAACAUCUAGAAGAUGGAAUCCUGCGUUCUUAAAGAAAAAAGCUAGUUCCAGAAGUAGGCUACCAAUAAUAAACUAGAGAAUGUAUUACAAGAAAGAACAACGCUAAUACCCAACAUAGCUCAAUUGCUUCAGAUAGAAAAAGAGGAGGAAAGGGUAGAACACAAGCGUGCCAGAGAAAAUGAAAGGGCAGAAGAGA
rnacentral:lncRNA from 1 species